GACUGUGAGGACCAUCUGUGACAUCCUUCACUCUAUUGAUCAUCAGGGUUGAUUUGGUUGAUCUGGCUAGCUAAAUAAAUGUCCUCUUCCUCCCUCACCACUCAUGUGUCUCCCGCCCAAAGUUGCACACUGGAUCAAAGAGGAUGACCUUCCCUAAUAGAGAAGAAUCCUUCUUCUGUCAAGAGCAUGACUAGAGGGGUAUAUGAGUAGCUGCACUUUCCUAGUAGCACCUCCAAAGAAGCUCUCAAGGUCCAUUUGAGGACAGUGUAGGGUAGACAAGCUUCCAAUACCCCAGACACGUUCAGAUGAGGCACUCAUGUGACAGUCUGCCUUUGUUU
rnacentral:snRNA from 1 species